UACGUAGGUGGCAAGCGUUGUCCGGAUUUACUGGGCGUAAAGAGCGCGCAGGCGGUCGUUCAAGUCGCGUGUGAAAGCCCCCCGGCUCAACUGGGGAGGGUCACGCGAUACUGAUCGACUCGAAGGCAGGAGAGGGUAGUGGAAUUCCCGGUGUAGUGGUGAAAUGCGUAGAUAUCGGGAGGAACACCAGUGGCGAAGGCGGCCACCUGGACGGUAACUGACGCUGAGACGCGAAAGCGUGGGGAGCAAACAGG
rnacentral:rRNA from 1 species